rnacentral:rRNA from 1 species
UACGGGGGGGGCAAGCGUUGUUCGGAAUUACUGGGCGUAAAGGGUUCGUAGGUGGCCUGCGAAGUCAGACGUGAAAUCCCCCAGCUCAACUGGGGAACUGCGUCUGAAACUGGCAGGCUCGAGUGCAGGAGAGGAACGCGGAAUUCCAGGUGUAGCGGUGAAAUGCGUAGAUAUCUGGAGGAACACCGGUGGCGAAGGCGGCGUUCUGGACUGCAACUGACACUGAGGAACGAAAGCCAGGGGAG